UAUGGCCAUAUCACAUUGAAAUACAAAUUCUCAUAUGAUCACCAAAGUUAAGCAACAUUUAGUCUUGUCAGUACCUAGAUGGGUGACUGCUUGGGAAUACCAGGUGCUGUAAG